UGGCCUACGGGGGGCAGCAGUAGGGAAUAUUGCUCAAUGGGGGAAACCCUGAAGCAGCAACCCCGCGUGGAGGAUGAAGGUUUUAGGAUUGUAAACUCCUUUUGUUAGAGAAGAUUAUGACGGUAUCUAACGAAUAAGCCCCGGCUAACUACGUGCCAGCAGCCGCGGUAAUACGUAGGGGGCAAGCGUUGUUCGGAAUGACUGGGCGUAAAGGGUGCGUAGGCGGUGUAGCAAGUUAGAAGUGAAAUACCUAGAGCUUAACUCAGGUGCUGCUUCUAAAACUGCUAUACUUGAGUGCAGUAGAG
rnacentral:rRNA from 1 species